GUAAGUGUACGUUUGGGCCUCAACGUUCCCUGCUGCACAGGGGAAGGUGGAAGACUCACGUGGCCUCAGUCUAUUUGCAAGGGAGGCUGAGGACAGAGGACAGUGAGGAUGUUGGAUAAGACUCCCUGGCCUGACACUGCCGUUAUCCUGGACACGGGCAGCCUCCUUGUGGGACCAUCACACUUUAUGGGCACGAGGUUUCUAAGCACUACUUCUGAGUCACAGCUGCCAA
rnacentral:lncRNA from 1 species